UACGAUGGAGGGCAAGCGUUACUCGGAAUUACUGGGCGUAAAGCGUGCGCAGGCGGUUUUGUAAGUUUGUCGUGAAAUCCCCGGGCUCAACCUGGGAAUUGCGAUGAAGACUGCAAGGCUAGAAUCUGGCAGAGGGGGGUAGAAUUCCACGUGUGAGCAGUGAAAUGCGUAGAGAUGUGGAGGAACACCGAUGGCGAAGGCAGCCCCCUGGGUCAAGAUUGACGCUCAUGCACGAAAGCGUGGGGAGCAAACGA
rnacentral:rRNA from 1 species